rnacentral:rRNA from 1 species
GACGAACGCUGGCGGCGUGCUUAACACAUGCAAGUCGAACGGAAAGGCCCUGCUUUUGUGUGGUUCUCGAGUGGCGAACGUGUGAGUAACACGUGAGUAUCCUGCCCUUGACUUUGGGAUAACUUCAGGAAACUGGUGCUAAUACCUGCUAGGAGCUCCUGCUGCAUGGUGGGGGUUGGACCGUUUCGGCGGUUGGGGAUGGACUCGCGGCUUAUGAGCUUGUUGGUGGGGUAGUGGUUUACCAAGGCUUUGACGGGUAGCCUGCCUGAGAGGGUGACCGGCCACAUUGGGACUGAGAUACGGCCCAGACUCCUACGGGAGGCAGCAGUGGGGAAUAUUGCACAAUGGGCGGAAGCCUGAUGCAGCAACGCCGCGAGCGGGAUGAAGGCCUUCGGGGUGUAAACCGCUGUCGCCUGUGACGAAGCGUGAGUGACGGUAAUGGGUAAAGAAGCACCGGCUAACUACGUG